UACGGGGGGGGCAAGCGUUGUUCGGAAUUACUGGGCGUAAAGGGCUCGUAGGCGGCCAACUAAGUCAUACGUGAAAUCCCUCGGCUUAACCGGGGAACUGCGUCUGAUACUGGAUGGCUUGAGUUCGGGAGAGGGAUGCGGAAUUCCUGGUGUAGCGGUGAAAUGCGCAGAUAUCAGGAAGAACACCAAUGGCGAAAGCAGCUUUCUGGGACGGUACUGACGCUGAGACGCGAAAGCGUGGGGAGCGAACAGG
rnacentral:rRNA from 1 species